rnacentral:rRNA from 1 species
UACGUAGGGUGCAAGCGUUGUCCGGAAUUAUUGGGCGUAAAGAGCUCGUAGGCGGUCUGUCACGUCGGCUGUGAAAACCCGAGGCUCAACCUCGGGCCUGCAGUCGAUACGGGCGGACUUGAGUACUGCAGGGGAGACUGGAAUUCCUGGUGUAGCGGUGAAAUGCGCAGAUAUCAGGAGGAACACCGGUGGCGAAGGCGGGUCUCUGGGCAGUAACUGACGCUGAGGAGCGAAAGUGUGGGGAGCGAACAGG